rnacentral:sRNA from 1 species
GCUGGGCAUUGUGGAGCUUGUCUGUAAUCCAAGAGACUCAGGAGGCUGAGGCAGGAGGAUUGCAAGUUUAAAGCCAGCCUCAGCAAUUUAGUGAGACCCUGUCUCAA